rnacentral:rRNA from 1 species
AAAAAAGAUAUUAAGGGCCAUAGGUGGAUGCCUUGGCUAGUAGAGGCGAUGAAGGACGUACUAGGCUGCGAUAAGCCUCGGGGAGCUGCCAAGAAGCUUUGAUCCGGGGAUUUCCGAAUGGGGCAACCCGGCAUGGCGCGAGUCAUGUCACCUUCGGGGGCGAACGCAGGGAAGUGAAACAUCUCAGUACCUGCAGGAAAAGAAAUCAAACGAGAUUCCCAAAGUAGCGGCGAGCGAAAUGGGAUUAGGGCACUUAGCGAUAGCAUAUUAGAUAGCAGAAGGAAUUGGAAAGUUCCGGCACAGAGGGUGAUACCCCCGUAAGCGAAAUCUUUUAUGCGGUACUAGGUUAAGGAAUGAGUAGGUCGGGACACGUGUUAUCUUGACUGAAUAUGGGGGGACCACCCUCCAACCCUAAAUACUACUACUAGACCGAUAGCGAACAAGUACCGUGAGGGAAAGGUGAAAAGAACCGCGGCGAGCGGAGUGAAAUAGAACCUGAAACCUAUGGCCUACAAUCAUUCGGAGCCGUAUUCUUUAUGAACGGUGACGGACUGCCUUUUGCAUAAUGAGCCUGCGAGUUGUGGUAUCUGGCAAGGUUAAACGAACGUGAAGCCGUAGCGAAAGCGAGUCUUAAUAGGGCG